rnacentral:rRNA from 1 species
AUAGCGACUAUCGUGGCAUAUCAAUAAGCGGAGGAAAAGAAACUAACUAAGGAUUCCCUUAGUAAUGACGAGUGAAGCGGGAAGAGCUCAAAUUUGAAAUCUUCAAGGUUUUACCUUGACGAAUUGUAGUUUAAAGAAGUGUUUUCUGUUGAAGUUUUGGUAAAAGUUCUUUGGAAUAGGACAUCAUAGAGGGUGAGAAUCCCGUAUUUGACCAUUAUUUCCAGCUUUGUGAUACACUUUCAAAGAGUCGGAUUGUUUGGGAAUGCAGUCCAAAAUGGGUGGUAAAUUUCAUCUAAAGCUAAAUAUUGGCGAGAGACCGAUAGCGAACAAGUACCGUGAGGGAAAGAUGAAAAGAACUUUGAAAAGAGAGUUAAACAGUACGUGAAAUUGUCAAAAGGGAAGCGUUUGACACCAGUGUUGUUUUUCCGAAAAUCAAUUACGAAUGUUUUAUUUUUGAGGAGUUAUGACUUCAUCGGCUUGCUCCUUUCUUUAUGAAACUUUCUUAAUGCACUUUUCGGUUAACAAGUCAACAUCAAUUUCUUUUGUUGUAAAAGGGUAUGAGGAAGGUGGCUUUCUUUUCGGAGAAAGUGUUUAUAGCCUUGUACCUCUGCAAUCGGAGAGAUUGAGGUCUGCAGCGUAGAUCCUUCGGGGUUAGAUACAUUUGUGCUAAGUUAUAGCUUUUCAUAGACAACUUGUUGACUAUGUUUAGUCUUGUAGCUUACUCGCUUAUGCUAUUUUACCUACGCUUAGGAUGUUGAUAGUCACAGCGUGUAC